UACGGGGGGGGCGAGCGUUGUUCGGAAUUAUUGGGCGUAAAGGGAGCGUAGGCGGUGUGGUAAGUCCGAUGUGAAACCUUCAGGCUUAACUUGGAGCUGGCAUCGGAUACUGCCGUGCUAGAGUGCGGGAGAGGAGAGUAGAAUUCCCGGUGUAGCGGUGAAAUGCGUAGAUAUCGGGAGGAAUACCGGUGGCGAAGGCGGCUCUCUGGACCGCAACUGACGCUGAGGCUCGAAAGCUAGGGGAGCAAACAGG
rnacentral:rRNA from 1 species